rnacentral:piRNA from 1 species
UAGAGCCAGCUGCAGAACAACCAGGA